AAAUUUAGGAUAGUCUAAACCAAGAGCCUUCAAAGCCCUAAACAAGAGCACACACCUCUUAAUUUCU
rnacentral:tRNA from 1 species